GAUGAACGCUGGCGGCGUGCUUAACACAUGCAAGUCGAACGGGAAUUAUUUUAUUGAAACUUCGGUCGAUAUGAUUUAAUCCUAGUGGCGGACGGGUGAGUAACGCGUGGGUAACCUGCCUUGUACAGGGGGAUAACAGUCAGAAAUGGCUGCUAAUACCGCAUAAGCGCACAGAGCUGCAUGGCUCCGUGUGAAAAACUACGGUGGUAUAAGAUGGACCCGCGUUGGAUUAGCUUGUUGGCAGGGUAACGGCCUACCAAGGCGACGAUCCAUAGCCGGCCUGAGAGGGUGAACGGCCACAUUGGGACUGAGACACGGCCCAGACUCCUACGGGAGGCAGCAGUGGGGAAUAUUGCACAAUGGGGGAAACCCUGAUGCAGCGACGCCGCGUGAAGGAAGAAGUAUCUCGGUAUGUAAACUUCUAUCAGCAGGGAAGAGAUUGACGGUACCUGACUAAGAAGCCCCGGCUAACUACGUG
rnacentral:rRNA from 1 species